rnacentral:lncRNA from 1 species
CUGCUUUCAUGGGAUUUUGAUUGAGCAAGAUUUGCUACUUGAUUUGUUUUGAUCUUGUGAAUAUUCUGUAUCAUUAACAUGUGUGCUAUGUAUCCACUUUUUCUUUCUUCAUCGUUUACAUCGACAAGUCUCCUGCUCUGAGACUCUUCACUCCAUAUUCGUUUGGAAUCUCUGUUUCGCCUCAAAUUUCUCUUUUGUGUUGAUGUAUUCAUUGGAUACAGUAAGUUUUU